rnacentral:lncRNA from 1 species
CACACAUGCAUACACAUACAUAUACAUAUAUAUUUGUAUAUAUAUGCUAGUAUGGGCAUGUAUGUAUACAUCACUGUUUCAAGCUAUUUCUAUGACAUUGUUAACUUUCUACACGUCCACAUACAUUGCUUAUAAUCAUUGUCAUAAUGUAUAUAUACAUUUUAUACCCAGCUCCCUGUUAUAUAUAUAUAUAUAUUGUACAAACACAGAGAAAAAAAAAAGGCGGGCAAUGUAUUCCUGCCCUCUCUUCUACAGAACCAGACAUAAACCAAGAAGGGAGCCUCUACAUGGUUAUUCAAAUUGCUAGAAAUAGCAGCUAAAUCUCCCUCAGUCACAUCCCAUCAUCUCAGACAAAAUGACCACAUUGCACAAUGUAAGAGCGGAUGUACAAAAAAGAUAAAUGCUCAUUGCUAGAAAGCCUUUUGGUCUGAUGUCUGCUUGUUCAGGGCUGACCUGUUGCUAAGCAACAACAAUAACACCACCACCAACACCAGCAACAAACCCAAAAGGUUGACUGGAGCUGGAGAUAUUUGCAGCAGGAUCAAUAACAACAACAACAACAACAACAGUUACAGCCUCUGAUCCACAUCUCUACUGCCACAUGUUGCUACUUGAUUAUCAUGGAUGAUAGAACGGAGAGAUGACCUCACAGCUGAACCCAUCUGAUCCAACUCUACAAAUCUUAUAUUCUCAAAUGUGUUCCCUACACCUUUAUUUAGGGAACAUUGCAGCUGACUUCUCACUAAGCAAUAAUGUUGAGUUCCAGGGUUCAAAUCUUGGUACAUCUCACCAAUUUCACCAUCAACAUGGACAGACACAUCAUACCCUUCUUUGCUCAAUGAAACAGUAUUAUGAACUCCCAGUCCCCACCUCCCCACCUCAUGCUUUUGUGCCUCACUUCCAUCUCUUAACAACAACACUAAUGCUUUAAAUAAAUAUGUCACUAAAACUUGGAAGCUGUGUGCUGAUCAGAAGAGGUUUUUUGAACAACUUUCCUCUCCCCUGUCUGUACAUUUAAAGGAGAUUUCUUUUUUCCACUAUGGUCAAGGAUUCUGGUAGCCCAGUGUUGUCAGCCACAACUACUGUGUCUUUGUCGUUAAGGGUCACUAA